rnacentral:rRNA from 1 species
AUUGAACGCUGGCGGCAGGCCUAACACAUGCAAGUCGAGCGAGCGGCGGACGGGUGAGUAAUGCCUGGGAAUUGCCCAGUCGAGGGGGAUAACAGUUGGAAACGACUGCUAAUACCGCAUACGAUUGGAUUGCCCAGGUGGGAUUAGCUAGUUGGUGAGGUAAUGGCUCACCAAGGCGACGAUCCCUAGCUGGUCUGAGAGGAGGAGCAGCCACAUUGGGACUGUGACACGGUCCAGGCUCGUACGGGAGUCAGCGGUGGGGAAGAUUGCAAAAUGGGGGAAACCCUGAUGCAGCCAUGCUGCGUGUGUGAAGAAGGCCUUCGGGUAGUAAAGCACUUUCAGGGAGGAGGCGUUUUUCGCAGAGGGAGCACCGGCUAGCUCCGUGGCAGGAGCCGCGGUAAUAC